CCGGGGAACUACGUCCGCAACAACAGAGAGAAGCUUUUCAAGAGGACACGUUGGAACGGAGAAAACACAGAAGUAGCGAAACACGGGGUGAAACCAAGAAAAAGGACGAAAAUUGCGUGCCAUAUUGUUUAUUCUGACGACGACUGCAGCAACGACGACUACAACGACGACGGCACCAAGAAAACGACAAUUACUGCAGGAUUCCAAUACGGGCACGAGAAGAACACUGCGCUCGUGGAUCGACAGCUAUGCCUUCAUACCUCGGCGAAAUAUUCUCGGCAUCGCGAGCGAACACAGGCCUAGAA